UACGUAGGGGGCUAGCGUUGUCCGGAAUCAUUGGGCGUAAAGCGCGUGUAGGCGGUCCGGUAAGUCCGCUGUGAAAGCCAGGGGCUCAACCCUUGGAUGCCGGUGGAUACUGUCGGGCUUGAGUACGGAAGAGGCGAGUGGAAUCCUGGUGUAGCGGUGAAAUGCGCAGAUAUCAGGAGGAACACCAAUUGCGAAGGCAGCUCGCUGGGACGUUACUGACGCUGAGACGCGAAAGCGUGGGGAGCAAACAGG
rnacentral:rRNA from 1 species